GAACUGUUUGCCUUUUCUCUGCAGAUCGCCCGAGGCAUGAAGCACCUCUCGGACAAUAACAUUGUUCACAGAGACGUAGCGGCUAGGAAUGUGCUACUGACGGACCGAGGUGUGUGCAAAAUCACAGACUUUGGCCUGGCACGUGACAUCCACGGCUCCGACAAUUAUGAGCGCAGGUCAAAGGGGCCGCUACCA